GAUGAACGCUGGCGGCGUGCCUAAUACAUGCAAGUCGAGCGAACAGACGAGGAGCUUGCUCCUCUGACGUUAGCGGCGGACGGGUGAGUAACACGUGGAUAACCUACCUAUAAGACUGGGAUAACUUCGGGAAACCGGAGCUAAUACCGGAUAAUAUAUUGAACCGCAUGGUUCAAUAGUGAAAGACGGUUUUGCUGUCACUUAUAGAUGGAUCCGCGCCGCAUUAGCUAGUUGGUAAGGUAACGGCUUACCAAGGCAACGAUGCGUAGCCGACCUGAGAGGGUGAUCGGCCACACUGGAACUGAGACACGGUCCAGACUCCUACGGGAGGCAGCAGUAGGGAAUCUUCCGCAAUGGGCGAAAGCGUGACGGAGCAACGCCGCGUGAGUGAUGAAGGUCUUCGGAUCGUAAAACUCUGUUAUUAGGGAAGAACAAAUGUGUAAGUAACUAUGCACGUCUUGACGGUACCCAAUCAGAAAGCCACGGCUAACUACGUG
rnacentral:rRNA from 1 species